AGUCCGUAGUUACCGGCGUUUUCCUUUAAGUAAAAGUAGGUUGUGAAUAAGCCGACUAUCAGCAAGGAGACUUAUGAGAUGCAUGUGUCGCAAGUUGGGCUGAGCAGCAGCAGAGACGUCCGAGCUCAUGGCGAGCUGAGCUGUUCGUCGAGUGUUCCGCGCUAAAAAGAGGCCACACCCCCGAUGAGGUGUCCGACAAGAUACUGACGGACAGGUAAGAUGCACCGCGCUGAGAAUAAAGCGAAAGGACCUGCAGCAGUUAUUUACUGUAUAUUGGAUAACAUUCCAAACAUUACAGAAACCAGACUAGCGAGAUGUGUGACGCAUUUUUGAUUUUCAUGUAGAAGGUGCAAAACAAAAGUUAUUUGUUAUAUUUUUAUUACGAUAAAUAUGGUUGAUCCGUUGACAUUUUGCUUAAAAAAAACGUUUAUUCCAGCUCUCAUGCAAAUUAUAUUAGUGGGAAAAGACCAAAAGAAGAUAUUCUUUAGUGUCACAGAAUCCCAAAUCUAUUGUCUUUUAGGUAGUCAUUUUGCUUUGACACAUGUUGUGGAUGCCAGCCCACGACUUCAUAUGAAAUUUAUUUUAGACUGUUAUUUAGGCCAGUCUGCAACCAGUCAGCGCAAUAUUUUAAAUCGGCGCAAUGCUGUAAUAGAUGGAAGGUCAUCGCGGCAGCAGCGAAUAAGGAGGCUUGUUAGCAGAGGAGAAUGACAUUUUUAUUACAGUCCUGAACAGGACUAACACAGGAACUGUACAUGUAACAAAUACACACAAGGGGCUAUUUAUGAUGGCCGGCGAGGCAAGAUGAUAUGCAAAUCCCGCCGGCGGUACAAUAUCCCUAGUCAAAAAUUCCUUUAGGAUUUUCACCUUUUCCAAUAGAAUCCUUUAGGAUUCCAAUAAAUUUAUCCAAAUCCUAUUGGACAAUCUAUCGACUUUAUAGAAAAACUGUUUGGUUCUAUAAGAAUAUUCACAGUCCCAUUGGAAAUGUAUAUAUUUCUUAUGGGACCACCCCUGACCCUGAAUAGGAUAAGCAGUUUCAGAAAAUGAAUGGAUUGAUCUUACAAUAUACUAGCUGCUUUCUAUAUGAAUUACCAGUCUUAAUGUUAAUUCGUACUGAGAAUAAAUUGUUUCUAAUGAUGCAUUCAAAUUAAAUAUAUGUAAUUUCAGUUCUGUACAUUUUGUAUAAUUCUUCAAAUUCACUCAUUUGUGGACAUCACAAUCAUACUUAAGGUUCUGUUGAGUGAUCGAACAACAAUAUGUUUGCUAUAAAAAUUCAAUACAUUUUUCACAAAUGCAGAAAAUGCCUAUUUUAUAAUAAAUAUUAUUUUAAUACUUUUAUACCAGAUCCAAAAGACAUAGCAUUUAAUAAACAUUACUUAAUUCAAUCAUUACAUUUUGAAAGAUAUUUAUCAAUGAGCUGCUAAAUUAAAUGUUCUUAUUUAUAAGUUCUGUCAACUGGAUACAUGUCACGCCUCGGUGGGCGGGACCACGUGACCAAGCCUCCUGACGAUCAUCUAUUUAACCGGCACUCUGACUAACCACUGUUGCGAAGUAUCGUUGCCCUCAUGCGCCCUACUAAGCAUUCUUCCUCUUUUUUGUCUUCUGUGCCACGUCGUCUGCCCUGCCUACCCUGCCCGACCUGCCUGCCCGCCUCGUCUUCCUGAUCCCUGCCCUGCUUCAUCUGUGUUCCCUGGUGUGCCCGUCUUGAUCUCUCCGGCUCACGACCCUCUACCUGCCUUCUCAACCAUCGCUUGUUGCCUGCCCCUUUGGACUUGUCUGUUGUUCGGUGUCCCAAUAAACCUCUGGGUCUCCUG